GACGAACGCUGGCGGCGUGCUUAACACAUGCAAGUCGAACGGAAAGGCCCUGCUUUUGUGGGGUGCUCGAGUGGCGAACGGGUGAGUAACACGUGAGUAACCUGCCCUUGACUUUGGGAUAACUUCAGGAAACUGGGGCUAAUACCGGAUAGGAGCUCCUGCUGCAUGGUGGGGGUUGGAAAGUUUCGGCGGUUGGGGAUGGACUCGCGGCUUAUCAGCUUGUUGGUGGGGUAGUGGCUUACCAAGGCUUUGACGGGUAGCCGGCCUGAGAGGGUGACCGGCCAAAUUGGGACUGAGAUACAGCCCAGACUCCUACGGGAGGCAGAAGUGGGGAAUAUUGCACAAUGGGCGGAAGCCUGAUGCAGCAACGCCGCGUGCGGGAUGACGGCCUUCGGGUUGUAAACCGCUUUCGCCUGUGACGAAGCGUGAGUGACGGUAAUGGGUAAAGAAGCACCGGCUAACUACGUG
rnacentral:rRNA from 1 species